UACAGAGGUCUCAAGCGUUGUUCGGAUUCAUUGGGCGUAAAGGGUGCGUAGGCGGCGCGGUAAGUCGGGUGUGAAAUUUCGAGGCUUAACUUCGAAACUGCAUUCGAUACUGCCGUGCUUGAGGACUGGAGAGGAGACUGGAAUUUACGGUGUAGCGGUGAAAUGCGUAGAUAUCGGGAGGAACACCGGUGGCGAAGGCGGUUCUCUGGGCCUUACCUGACGCUGAGGAGCGAAAGCGUGGGGAGCGAACAGG
rnacentral:rRNA from 1 species